CUUCAUGAGUGCCGGUUGUUUGUGAAAAUCCAAACACUUAAACUCCUCCACAGGAGGAUGCAGGUGCUAAACUCUUCUAGCUGUUAGGUUCUUGUUGUAAACAUCUAUGAGUCCUGCCUAGUUUACAAAAUUAGUUCUAUUGACACCAUCUCAUGUCUCCCAGUCAGAUAUUCACCAGCUAAAUAGUGGUUUAAUCUUCUGAAACUUUAAAAAACAAGACUAAAGUUUUGAAGGAUACAAGAAGUCAAAUGUUUCUGUAGGCUGCAGGAAUUCUAGAUUGCUAUGGAGGUUUCCUAGACGAAGUCUUACAGGGUUAAGCUACACUUUUCUCAUUACCUGACUGAUAGUCAUUAAGAAGUAUUUGCCUUCAAAUUAUUGUCUUGUUACCUCUGAAUAAAGAAUUAAAUCUUUGCCUUUUCUACAAACAGUAGUUUUAUGCCUUAUAUAGCUUAAACCCUGACAUGGGGUGAUCAACCAGUAUGCAACACUGCUAAUUCUAGGAGAACUUGAAUGACCACCCUUACCUUGUGUUCACAAGCUUAUAAGCUUUGCUGUCAAGCAGCAGCUAGUUGUGGCUAAAGCAGGACAGAAGGAAAUGGGGGACUUGGGAAGGCAAUGCUACACGUGUGAUAAAGAGGAGAGAGAAGCCAAUUUAUGGUUCUGACAUUUUCACAUGUUCCCAGGUGAAUCUUUGGUACAAAAUCUGGGAUCAGCAUACAGCCCUCUCUCUGUAAGAGCUCUGCCUCUCUCAGACGGAUCAGCCAGGGCUGGAGGUUCAAGAUGCUGCUGUGUAAUAAGAAGGGCAAAACUUUAGAGAAUUCUCAUGGUGACAACUGCAGCUCAUCCUAGCCUUCUUGGCAAAGAAAGAGGCAACAGUAACAAGGACAACUGUGUCUCUGGAUAAGAAUCAAAUUCUGCAUCCCGUUCAAGAGGCUUUCCCUUCUGCUGGAUCUUGCCUGCAUGAUGAAAACUUUGCAUUAGCCACAUCAGAGCUGUCAUGAACACAAAAUUAUCUAUGCUGAUUUUAGCUUAAUUUUACUAGGAAUUAGCUUAUUUUUACUUGGAAGCAGUUGAAUGGAAAGGAACUUGGUAGCUGAAAUAAAAAUGGUGCUGGAGAGGAA